rfam:Tepidicaulis marinus DNA, contig: scaffold00005.
ACCCUUUAUUUGCCGCUCAUGAUGCUUAUAUUACGUCUGUCGGCAUUGCCGACUAUGGCGAUAAACGGACUACGUAAUAAGCCUAUCGGACCCGGGGGCAGUACCCGGCGCCUCCACCAAUAUCCCCGCGCUUGAAACAGUUUUGCGGGCUUCAGGGGGGCGAAACAGGAUCGACGAGGGUGUAAAGGUAGUUUUUUCGCUCGGCAUGGUAGCCACCGUUAUCGGGCCAAACUUGAUAGUUGCCAACGACAACUAUGCUGAAGCACGUCUCGCUGCCUAAGCAGUGCGACAGCUUCGAAUUAAGCCCUAGCCGUUAGCACGGUUAGGCGGGGUUCGAGGGCACCUGGCAACAGAAGCCCUCACU